rnacentral:lncRNA from 1 species
GGAUCAAAGGCAAAUUUCGUACAAAGUUACUAAAAGAAAGAAGAGAAUAAGGAGCGGAAUAACAUCCCUCCAAGCCCAAGCCUGGGCCUGACGGAGGCGUCCCUUAGCCCAGCACGUCCUCAGCCUUGGGGAUCAUGAACCCCUUUGAGAACCAGAAGGGGGAAGGGCCCUUCCCUGGAAACAGACAUGUAUGCACAAGACCCCUAGAAGGGUGCCUUCUCUGGCCGGGCAGUCACAGGCACCCUGGCCCCAUCCAUGGUCCCAGCUGGAGCCUGACUUCCGAAGAAAGGAAAAGAAAAGCUGGCCAAGCAUCUUAGUUUCGGCACACUGACACUCCAUGUCACAGCCAGAACGAGGGACUUCCACCACCGGGAUUCGAGAACCUGAAGACGCUGGCCACCAGAGAGAGUCACCAGGCGCCAAUGUCUGUGGCCCGCGGCCCAUCCCAGAGGCGAGGCUCUCGGUAUCCAGGGCCAGCUCGACCUGUGGCCCGCAGCCAGCCUCCUGCAACCACAGGGAGGAACCAAGAGAGGCGGGAGGGCCUUCGGAAAUAGGCACGUCACUGACCUGCUAGAAGUUACUUGAGCACAUCCAUUCCUUGGCAAUCACGGAAAAGAAAGUAUUUUCUUCUAGCGUACCCAGAAUGCUCAGCUGAGCUAUCUGACCUGACCUGGCCCGGCUCACGGCCCCAGCAUGUGGAUUUGGAACCUACAAGCACACUGGCUCUGUUGGCAGCCCCAACUCGCACACCCAGUCUCGUCUCCCCGGCGGGGCUCACCGCUGCUGCGUGGGCCUGUGGGGACUCCUCUCUGCUCUCCCACUGGCUGCAGCGUUCAUAAGUCCCCCUUCCCCCAACACGGUGCUCGGUGCUGAGUAAAAAUAUACACACGCACGUGGAGCCCAAAACCAUAUUUGUCCUAGGGAUUGGCUCAUGCUAGAUGGGAAGAAUAAUCGGAGUGUGCACAAGCAGGAGCAUUUGCUAUUUCUUUUCCAGUCUACGAUGAAGCAGGAACGUAAACUGAGUUACUCUAGUCGGCCACAACAUGGAGUUCUGGUGUUUAUCUAGCUGAAAGCCUGUGUAAUGUGAGCACAGAGACACAUUCAUUCAUUCAAGAAGCACUUUGGGAGCACCCACGCUACGCCAAUAAGACGGCUGGGAGCCGGGAUUACAAAACACCCCCGGUCAAGGUGUGCCACAAAAGAUGACAGCCCCCCAGAGGGGAUCCCGAAAGCAGCAGCUGGAAGUCAGUGGGAUGUGUGCUAAGAUCCCAAACGGGGGAAGCCACGGGACUACAGGAGGCAACGGCAAGGGCGCCUGCCCCUACCGAGUGGGCAGGGAAGGCGUCCCAUGGGAACCGUUUAAGCGAGAAAGGCACUACGAGUAGGAGUUACCCAGGCUGAGGACAGGGGUGCGCAGGCAAUACCAGGCAGGGACAAGCACUUCCAGACAAAAAGGAGCAGAGUCAUUGGAAGGCGGGGGAUGGCAAACAUUUUCUGGGCAGGGCCGGAGGGUCAAUAUUUUCAGCUUUGCCACCUCAACUCUGCGGUCGUGGCACGAAAGCCACCCCGCAGGCACAACACAGAGAUGAAGGAUCAUGGCGACUUGAUUCCUGGACAGUGGCAUCUGCAUUUCCCAUCACUCUUGCCUGUCCUGAGAUAAUACCACUCUCCCUUUGGUCAUUUAACUACUCUCCCCGGGCUGGACACUUGGAACUUUCCCAGUCUUAUGCUGUCACUAGCUAUGCUGCACUGAAGAAGAUCUUAAACAUAUUUCUUUCAUCUAUGAGAGGGUUCAUCUGUCGGCUGGAUAUUCCUCCCACACAGUGGAGGGAUCAAAGGUUCUGUGCAUCUGAAUUUUUAAUGGAUCUUGCCAAACUGCCCUCCAUGGGAGUUGUGCCAAUGUCUACUCCUGCCAACAACCAGUGGGGGCAUCUAUGUCCCAUCAGGCUCACCAACACUGUGUGAUCUGACAUUUAGAAUUUAGCCCAUUGAAUCAGUAAAAACAAACAAACCAACAAACCAAAAGGGAUAAUCUCAGUGUCUUUUGAUGUGCAUGUCUGGGGAUGUGCAUCUUUUCAUAGGUUCAAGAGCCUCUUGUAUUUCCUUUCUUGUUCACUGUCUGUUCACGUCCUUUACCCAUUUUUCCCACUGGGUGCUUCAUCCUUUUCUCUGUAAGAGUUCCUUGCGUAUUGAGAUAGGAGUUGGAGACAGUUUUCCCUAGUGUGUCAUUUGUCCUUUGGCUUUGCUGAUCGUAUUAGUCUGUUCUCACAUUGCUAUAAAGAAAUGCCUGAG